UACGGGGGGGGCAAGCGUUGUUCGGAAUUACUGGGCGUAAAGGGCUCGUAGGUGGCCAAUUAAGUCAGACGUGAAAUCCCCAGGCUCAACUUGGGAACUGCGUCUGAUACUGGUUGGCUUGAAUUCGGGAGAGGGAUGCAGAAUUCCAGGUGUAGCGGUGAAAUGCGUAGAUAUCUGGAGGAAUACCGGUGGCGAAGGCGGCAUCCUGGACCGGCAUUGACGCUGAGGCGCGAAAGCCAGGGGAGCAAACGGG
rnacentral:rRNA from 1 species